rnacentral:rRNA from 1 species
UAGGGGAUCUUCCACAAUGGACGAAAGUCUGAUGGAGCAACGCCGCGUGAGUGAAGAAGGUUUUCGGAUCGUAAAGCUCUGUUGUUGGUGAAGAAGGAUAGAGGCAGUAACUGGUCUUUAUUUGACGGUAAUCAACCAGAAAGUCACGGCUAACUACGUACCAG